GGAGGAACAGAAACAGCAGGCUGUUGGCAUUGAAAAUCCCGUCACGAAUCUUAAGGAUCAAUGGAGUGCGCGCUGUAAGAGAUUAUUUACUGUCUGACGAGGUGUUGGCAAACGUUUCCCGACAUAUUGGCACCAAGGAUCUUAUUUUAACAGCGGAAUUCCCACCAGACAAAUCAACUCUUGCCAACACGUUCAAAGCUGUCGUCGGUGCAUUAAACAAAUCAUCCGGAAACGAAAAAUCGUUUGAAUUCGUUCGCGAUUUUCUUUUCACACAACUGAAUCAGAAGGACAUCGAAAGUAUGUGGGACAUUGAACG